UUGCAUUUCUGAUAUAUUAUGGUAUCUGAAAAGGAUCAGAUGGAGUCUUGCCCUGUCACCCAGGCUGGAGUGCAGUGGCGCAAUCUCGGCUCACUGCAAGCUCCGCCUCCUGGGUUGACACCAUUCUCCUGCCUCAGCCUCCCAAGUAGCUGGGACUACAGGAGCCCGCCACCACGCCCAGCUAAUCUUUUUGUAUUUUUAGUAGAGACAUGGUUUCACCCUGUUAGCCAGGAUGGUCUCGAUCUCCUGACCUCGUGAUCCACCCGCCUCGGCCUCCCAAAGUGCUGGGAUUAUAGGUGUGAGCCACUACGCCCGGCCUGGAUGCUACAUUCUUAAAGGAUGCUGAUUUUAUCUUGGUUUCUUGCUUUUUUAAGUUAUCUCUCAUGUUCUUUGAUUUGCUCUAUGUUGCUUCUUUCUGUGGUCUUCUUGGGUAUACUCAAGUGUGUAUCAUACUCAAGUGUGUAUCGCAUAUGUUUAACAAAGGAAAAAUAGUGUUAAAAGAAAAAGUAUCACUUAAUAUAAGAAGCAAAACUUAGUUUUUGUUUCUAUGAUAAUGACAUCCAGGUAUGAUUUAGGUUAUUUUUCACUUUAAAUGGGCUAUUAACUUCACGUGAGAAAAAAACUGUAGAAACGUUAACUCCUGUAGAAUGAUGACUAUCUGUGGUGUAGUAAGAUCAUACAACUUCUCUACUUGUUACUGUGAGUUGCUUAAUAAAUGGCAGUACAAGUGUCAAAUCCGUAAUUAGUCAAUAUCAAGAGCUGCAUUUUGGAUUGCAUGUACUGUCCCAAAUAUAUGUUGUGCAAGUUACUUUGUAUCAUGUUAAUGGAGAAAAGAGUGGAUAUUAUGAAAUCAGCAAUAUAAAUCAAAUGUAUAUGUGGUCCUGCAAUGUAAUUGAAGGUACUCAGUCUUCUCAGACACUGAUGCAAUAUCUUGUGUUGCUUUCUCAGAUUUUUUAGGUGUAUCAUAGGGGAUAGCUGGGAACUGGUAGAGCAGAGGUACUAAGUUCCACCUGGAAAUGCUUUAGAGUAGCUCUUUGAAUAUGUCUUUACUUAUUAUCUUACAGCGUAUGUGUAUAUGAUUAUUUUCUAGAGGGUCGUACCCUUUAUUAAGCUGUGAGCUUCUUGAGGGCAAGGACUGCAAUUCAUUAAUCAUUUUGGAGAAAAGUGAAUAAUUCUGAAGAAUUCGGUGGUUCAUGAGCUUGCCUGGUAUUUGUUUCUCUAUGGCUUAUCAUCUAAGUGAGAUAACAGAUAGUAGAUAAUUGAUAAAUUUAAUCUGUUACCUAAUUACUGAGAGGAUUCAAUUCUUGCUUUAUGUUAUUACUGAAACAGACUGCCCAGUAAUCUUCUCUAGAGAGCAAUUAGGUUUGCAAUGAGUUAUUUUAUUGAGAAUGCUACUUGGAAUUAAAUGUUUAUACCACUAUCUUGAUAUAAUUUAAAUAUAAUUUAUAUGUGCUGAAGUAUCUUCAUUCAGAUAACUUGUUACCCCUUAACAAAACGCUGCUUGAGUGUUGUUUCUCUCCCAUUUGGCAAACACCAGAUGCAGUGAUUAAUAAAGGUCAUUAUGCUACUUAGUCAUGGAGCGCUUUUAAUGACUGUUACCUGAACAUCUGCUAGAUUCACGAUGGCAGUUACCAGAAACAUCUAACAAAAUAUACAUGCUGUGCUUUGAAAAUCUGGCUUGGACUAAUCUAAAUGACUACCUAAGAACAUUUGAAUAUUCCCUGAAGUUUUAUUAAUUGUGAGAAAGCCCUUAUCUUUCUGUAGUGUGAACAAUCCAAAAUGUCAACAAAAUGCUAAUUUGGAAUGGCUAUCCUUGACAAUCUCAGCUUCCUGAGGGCUGCAUGCUCAGGGGCUGGGAGUCCUCUGUGUAGAAUCAAUGGAGACAGUGGCUCUCUUGCACUUCUGAUUAUCAUGGGAAGCCUCGCCUUGGAAAUGUGGGACUGGAGUUGAGCUGAAAAGAAGGAAAAACUUUACCUAGACUCUGCAGGGAGCAAGUUGAAAAGCAGAGAAUGGGUAUAUUAAUUAUGGGGUUUUUGAAAACAGCACUAAGUACUUUUCAGAAAAACUUAUUUUGAAAUAAUUAUGGAUUCGUAGGAAAUUGCAAAACAGUACAGAGAAAUCCCAUGUACUUUUUACUCAGUUUCCUCCAUUUUUAUGUAACUUUAGUUAAAUAUCAAACCAGGAUAUUGAUAUUGGUACAAUCCACAGACUUUAUUCAGAUUUCAUUAGUUUUACAUGCAUGUGUGUGGUGUAUGUGUGACAUUUGUGUGUAUAUGUGUGUGUGUGUGGUGGGUCCUCGGCAAUUUUAUCAUGUGUAGAUUUGUGUAACCGUCAUCAGAACCAAGGUUACAGAAGAGUUUCAUCACCACAGGUUUCCUUAACGCUAUGCCCUUUCUAUCAUACCCUUCCCACACCUCCCUGCACUUCCCUAACCCCUUGCAAUGAAUUUGUUCUCCAUCUCUAUAAAUUUACCAUCUUGAGAAUGCUAUAUAAAUGGAAUCAUAUAUU
rnacentral:sRNA from 1 species